AACGAACGCUGGCGGCAUGCCUAACACAUGCAAGUCGAACGAGACCUUCGGGUCUAGUGGCGCACGGGUGCGUAACGCGUGGGAACCUGCCCUUAGGUUCGGAAUAACUCCCCGAAAGGGGUGCUAAUACCGGAUAAUGUCUUCGGACCAAAGAUUUAUAGCCUUUGGAUGGGCCCGCGUUGGAUUAGCUAGUUGGUAGGGUAAAAGCCUACCAAGGCGACGAUCCAUAGCUGGUCUGAGAGGAUGAUCAGCCACACUGGGACGGAGACACGGCCCAGACUCCUACGGGAGGCAGCAGUGGGGAAUAUUGGACAACGGGCGAAAGCCUGAUCCAGCAAUGCCGCGUGAGUGAUGAAGGCCUGAGGGUUGUAAAGCUCUUUUACCCGGGAUGAUAAUGACAGUACCGGGAGAAUAAGCUCCGGCUAACUCCGUG
rnacentral:rRNA from 1 species